UAAACUGAAGAGUUUGAUCAUGGCUCAGAUUGAACGCUGGCGGCAGGCCUAACACAUGCAAGUCGAGCGUGAAAGCACUUCGGUGUGAGUAGAGCGGCGGACGGGUGAGUAACGCGUAGAAAUCUACCUAGUAGUGGGGGACAACCUGGUGAAAACCAGGCUAAUACCGCAUACGUCCUACGGGAGAAAGCGGGGGAUCUUCGGACCUCGCGCUAUUAGAUGAGUCUGCGUAAGAUUAGCUAGUUGGUGGGGUAAAAGCCUACCAAGGCGACGAUCUUUAGCUGGUCUGAGAGGACGAUCAGCCACACUGGAACUGAGACACGGUCCAGACUCCUACGGGAGGCAGCAGUGGGGAAUAUUGCACAAUGGGCGAAAGCCUGAUGCAGCCAUGCCGCGUGUGUGAAGAAGGCUCUAGGGUUGUAAAGCACUUUCAGUAG
rnacentral:rRNA from 1 species